rnacentral:rRNA from 1 species
AGCGAACGCCGGCGGCAGGCUUAACACAUGCAAGUCGAGCGGGCGUAGCAAUACGUCAGCGGCAGACGGGUGAGUAACACGUGGGAACGUACCUUUUGGUUCGGAACAACACAGGGAAACUUGUGCUAAUACCGGAUAAGCCCUUACGGGGAAAGAUUUAUCGCCAAAAGAUCGGCCCGCGUCUGAUUAGCUUGUUGGUGAGGUAACGGCUCACCAAGGCGACGAUCAGUAGCUGGUCGAGAGGAUGAUCAGCCACACUGGGACUGAGACACGGCCCAGACUCCUACGGGAGGCAGCAGUGGGGAAUAUUGGACAAUGGGCGAAAGCCUGAUCCAGCCAUGCCGCGUGAGUGAUGAAGGCCCUAGGGUUGUAAAGCCCCUUUGUGCGGGAAGAUAAUGACGGUACCGCAAGAAUAAGCCCCGGCUAACUUCGUGCCAGCAGCCGCAGUAAU